GUAUAAAGUGAUGGCAAUAAAUUAGCUAAUUUGGUAUGGCUAAACAUUUUAAACGAGAGUCAUGUUUAGAUGCAAUUGAAGAAACAGAGGAGCGAGUGGAUUACCUUAAGGAAAAGAAUGAAAAUUUGGACAUCAAAAAGCCUGCAAUCUUCAAGCACAAAGAAACCGUUGAUGUGGUCCAAGCUGAAAAAGAUAUUGAGAAGGCGCAAGAAGAAUGGGAUAAUUUAGGGUCCUCUGUUCACGG